CCGGCACGGGUGAGUAACACGUAUCCAACCUGCCGUCUACUCUUGGACAGCCUUCUGAAAGGAAGAUUAAUACAAGAUGGCAUCAUGAGUUCACAUGUUCACAUGAUUAAAGGUAUUCCGGUAGACGAUGGGAUGCGUUCCAUUAGAUAGUAGGCGGGGUAACGGCCCACCUAGUCUUCGAUGGAUAGGGGUUCUGAGAGGAAGGUCCCCCACAUUGGAACUGAGACACGGUCCAA
rnacentral:rRNA from 1 species